AGGACGAACGCUGGCGGCGUGCUUAACACAUGCAAGUCGAACGGUGAAGCCCUUCGGGGUGGAUCAGUGGCGAACGGGUGAGUAACACGUGGGCAAUCUGCCCUGCAUUCUGGGACAAGCCUUGGAAACGAGGUCUAAUACCGGAUACGACGCAUCCCCGCAUGGGGUGUGCGUGGAAAGCUCCGGCGAUGCAGGAUGAGCCCGCGGCCUAUCAGCUUGUUGGUGGGGUAAUGGCCUACCAAGGCGACGACGGGUAGCCGGCCUGAGAGGGCGACCGGCCACACUGGGACUGAGACACGGCCCAGACUCCUACGGGAGGCAGCAGUGGGGGAAUAUUGCACAAUGGGCGAAAGCCUGAUGCAGCGACGCCGCGUGAGGGAUGACGGCCUUCGGGUUGUAAACCGUCUUUCAGCAGGGAAGAAGCGCAAGUGACGGUACCUGCAGAAGAAGCACCGGCUAACUACGCGCCAGCAGCCGCGGU
rnacentral:rRNA from 1 species